rnacentral:rRNA from 1 species
UACGAAGGGGGCUAGCGUUGCUCGGAAUCACUGGGCGUAAAGCGCACGUAGGCGGCUUUUUAAGUCAGAGGUGAAAUCCUGGAGCUCAACUCCAGAACUGCCUUUGAUACUGAGAAGCUCGAGUCCGGGAGAGGUGAGUGGAACUGCGAGUGUAGAGGUGAAAUUCGUAGAUAUUCGCAAGAACACCAGUGGCGAAGGCGGCUCACUGGCCCGGUACUGACGCUGAGGUGCGAAAGCGUGGGGAGCAAACAGG